rnacentral:rRNA from 1 species
GACAGGGGUGCCGAGCGUUAGGCGGAAUCACUGGGCUUAAAGCGUGUGUAGGCGGCGGCGUAAGUACCUUGUGAAAUCCCACGGCUCAACCGUGGAACUGCUCGGUAUGCUGCGUCGCUUGAGCCAGCUAGGGGCGACCGGAACAAACGGUGGAGCGGUGAAAUGCGUAGAUAUCGUUUGGAACGCCGAUGGUGAAAACAGGUCGCUGGGGCUGUGCUGACGCUGAGACACGAAAGCCAGGGGAGCGAACGGG